rnacentral:lncRNA from 1 species
CCUAUCCUUGUUUGUUCCACCAUCCUCCUAAUAAGGUGGAUAGCUUCUGUGGUAGAUCACCCUAGCAUGAACCCGAACUGGUUAUCUAAAAUAGAUACAAUCCUUCUCACUCUCAUUUCUACCACUCUUCCCCAAACUUUCGUAGGAUGACUCAGUAAUUUGAUACCCCUAUAGUUGCUACAGCUCUAGAUAUCACCUUUUUUUAAUAAAACGGAACCAUUGUACUCCACCUCCACUCUUCAGGCAUCCUAUUAGUCUUGAAUAUAAUAUUAUCUACCACUCUCUCCUAGACUUUCAUGGUAUGACACAAUAAUUUGAUACCCGUAUAGUUGUUGAAACUCUACAUAUCGCCCUUGUUCUUAUACAACAAAACCAUUGUACUCCACCUCCACUCUUUAGUCAUCCUAUUAAUUUUGAAUAUAAUAUUAAACAACCUCAUAAGCCAUUCCAAGUCUGCUCUACCCACACACCUCCAAAGUUCAACCAGAAUUUCAUCUGGCUCGGUAGCUUUGCCCCUUCUCAUCUUAUGCAUUGCCUCCAUGACCUCAUCGACCUCAAUGUCCCUACAAUAACUUAAUUCAUGGGUACUUUCGGCAUAUCUCAAUUCACCUAGUGUAAUAUCCUGAUCCCCUUCUUCAUUUUUAAGUUUAUAAAAAUAGGUUUGCCACAUCCUUUUGAUAUGGUCAUCCCCCAUCAAAACUUAUCUUUUAUGUACCUCACUUGGUCUAGAUCUCGAGAUGCCCUCUCUCUCACCUUAGUGAGUCGGAAUAACUUCUUCUCCCCGCCUUUGUUUUUUGCAGUUCCUCAUAUAGACGAGCAAAAGCUGUCGUCUUAGCCUCUGUUACUGCCAUCUUCGCCUCAUUCCUAGCUACCUUAUACCUCUCCCUAUUUUCUCUCUUCUCAUCCUUGCCAGUGCUCGCUACCAACCGUAGGUAAGCCGCCUUCUUUGCUUCCACUUUACCUUGGACAACUAUAUUCUACCACCAGUCUCCUUUGUAGCCACCGGUGCAGCCUGAUGAUAUCCUUAACAAAACUCUCGCCGCCUUCCUUAUACAAUCCGUCGUCGUUGACCACAUAAUGUUUGCGUCCUCACUAGUUCUCCAAGCUCACAUUACCAAUAACCUUCCUUCCAACUCCUGGGCUUUAUCCUUAGUCAAGGCACCCCACCUAAUCCUCGGGCGGCCUCAUACUGAUUUCUUC